GGAUUAUGUGGUUUAAUUCGAUGAUACGCGAGGAACCUUACCAAGGCUUAAAUGGGAAAGGACAGGUUUAGAAAUAGACUUUUCUUCGGACAUUUUUCAAGGUGCUGCAUGGUUGUCGUCAGCUCGUGCCGUGAGGUGUUAGGUUAAGUCCUGCAACGAGCGCAACCCCUGUCACUAGUUGCCAUCAUUAAGUUGGGGACUCUAGUGAGACUGCCUACGCAAGUACAAAGGAAGGUGGGGAUGACGUCAAAUCAUCACGGCCCUUACGCCUUGGGCCACACACGUAAUACAAUGGCCGGUACAGAGGGCAGCUACACAGCGAUGUGAUGCAAAUCUCGAAAGCCGGUCUCAGUUCGGAUUGGAAUCUGCAACUCGACUCUAUGAAGCUGGAAUCGCUAGUAAUCGCGCAUCAGCCAUGGCG
rnacentral:rRNA from 1 species